AGAGUUUGAUCAUGGGUCAGAGUGAACGNCUGGCGGCAGGCCUAACACAUGCAAGUCGAGCGGCAGCGCGGGGGCAACCCUGGCGGCGAGCGGCGGACGGGUGAGGAAUGCAUCGGAAUCUACCUCGUUGUGGGGGAUAACCUCGGGAAACCGGGACUAAUACCGCAUACGACCUACGGGUGAAAGUGGGGGGCCUUCGGGCCUCACGCGAUGAGAUGAGCCGAUGCCGGAUUAGCUAGUUGGCGGGGUAAAGGCCCACCAAGGCGACGAUCCGUAGCUGGUCUGAGAGGAUGAUCAGCCACACUGGAACUGAGACACGGUCCAGACUCCUACGGGAGGCAGCAGUGGGGAAUAUUGGACAAUGGGCGCAAGCCUGAUCCAGCCAUGCCGCGUGUGUGAAGAAGGCCUUCGGGUUGUAAAGCACUUUUGUUGGGGAAGAAACCGGCCGGAUUAAUACUUCGGUUGAAUGACGGUACCCAAAGAAUAAGCACCGGCUAACUUCGUGCCAGCAGCCGCGGUAAUACGAAGGGUGCAAGCGUUACUCGGAAUUACUGGGCGUAAAGCGUGCGUAGGCGGUUUGUUAAGUCUGUCGUGAAAGCCCCGGGCUCAACCUGGGAAUGGCGAUGGAUACUGGCAAGCUAGAGUGUGUCAGAGGAUGGUGGAAUUCCCGGUGUAGCGGUGAAAUGCGUAGGGAUCGGGAGGAACACCAGUGGCGAAGGCGGCCAUCUGGGACACACUGACGCUGAGGCACGAAAGCGUGGGGAGCAACAGGAUUAGAUACCCU
rnacentral:rRNA from 1 species